UAGGGAGAAAGAGGUCCUUCAGGCCCUGCUAUGGUUGGCCCACAUGGCAUACCUGGGAUCCCAGGAGAAAGAGGAGAACAGGGUGGGAUUGGCUCUGAUGGACCUAAAGGAGACAGAGGAGAACCAGGCAUGACGGAGGAUGAGAUUCGGGCUUAUGUUCGAAGU